rnacentral:rRNA from 1 species
GAUGAACGCUGGCGGCGUGCCUAAUACAUGCAAGUCGAGCGAAUGGAUUAAGAGCUUGCUCUUAUGAAGUUAGCGGCGGACGGGUGAGUAACACGUGGGUAACCUGCCCAUAAGACUGGGAUAACUCCGGGAAACCGGGGCUAAUACCGGCUAACAUUUUGAACCGCAUGGUUCGAAAUUGAAAGGCUGCUUCGGCUGUCAUUUAUGGAUGGACCCGCGUCGCAUUAGCUAGUUGGUGAGGUAACGGCUCACCAAGGCAACGAUGCGUAGCCGACCUGAGAGGGUGAUCGGCCACACUGGGACUGAGACACGGCCCAGACUCCUACGGGAGGCAGCAGUAGGGAAUCUUCCGCAAUGGACGAAAGUCUGACGGAGCAACGCCGCGUGAGUGAUGAAGGCUUUCGGGUCGUAAAACUCUGUUGUUAGGGAAGAACAAGUGCUAGUUGAAUAAGCUGGCACCUUGACGGUACCUAACCAGAAAGCCACGGCUAACUACGUGCCAGCCGCCGCGGUAA